CCGAAAAACAGGAGAAAGCCGUGAACUCUGAAGUUUACUUACAUCCCAGUCUGAAUCAUGCACGCUUGGGGUGCAGCUCAGCAGUGAAGGGUUUGAAAAGCAUCGCAGACACAGAAGGGCUUUGGCUCCCUGAAACUUGGCAGGCAAACCACCCUUAAUCUUCAGACCUUCUCAGAGGCUCCCAACAUAAUUACAUGGUAUAAAUGAGCAAUCAAAUUCAUGGAUUAAGAAGCUCUGAGGACCAGCUGCAGACCACUCACCAAACC